GAUCAUGGCUCAGGACGAACGCUGGCGGCGCGCCUAACACAUGCAAGUCGAACGAGCGAGAGAGAGCUUGCUUUCUUGAGCGAGUGGCGAACGGGUGAGUAACGCGUGAGGAACCUGCCUCAAAAAGGGGGACAACAGUUGGAAACGACUGCUAAUACCGCAUAAGCCCACGACCCGGCAUCGGGUAGAGGGAAAAGGAGCAAUCCGCUUUGAGAUGGCCUCGCGUCCGAUUAGCUAGUUGG
rnacentral:rRNA from 1 species